AUACGUAGGGGGCGAGCGUUGUCCGGAAUGAUUGGGCGUAAAGGGCGCGUAGGCGGCCCGGUAAGUCUGGAGUGAAAGUCCUGUUUUUAAGAUGGGAAUUGCUUUGGAUACUGUCGGGCUUGAGUGCAGGAGAGGUAAGUGGAAUUCCCAGUGUAGCGGUGAAAUGCGUAGAGAUUGGGAGGAACACCAGUGGCGAAGGCGACUUACUGGACUGUAACUGACGCUGAGGCGCGAAAGUGUGGGGAGCAAACAGGAUUAGAUACCCUGGUAGUCCACACUGUAAACGAUGAAUGCUAGGUGUAGGGAGUAUCGACCCCUUCUGUGCCGCAGUCAACACAAUAAGCAUUCCGCCUGGGGAGUACGGCCGCAAGGUUGAAACUCAAAUGAAUUGACGGGG
rnacentral:rRNA from 1 species